rnacentral:ncRNA from 1 species
AGUGUAAUCUCUCUUAACAGGUAAAAUCAAAAUAACGGCACCUUUGAGGACCAAACUUAAAUCCCAAAUUUAAGCCAGUGAAAGAAAAAUAUUUCAAGUGUCAAUCUUAUUACCUGUCGAUGGUAGGCUGCAGGCCUACCAUGGUCGUAAAGAGUAACAGAAAAUUAGGGUUCGAUUCCGGAAAGGGAGCCUGAGAAACGGUUACCACAUCCAAGGAGGGCAAGGGGCGUGCAAAUUAGCUGCUCCCCCUACGGGAAAGUAGUAACGAAAAAUGACAAUACCGGAAUUCUUUGGAACUCCGCAACUGGAAGGAGAACACUCUAAACUCCUUAACGACGAUCAGUUGAAGGCCAAGUCUGGUGCCAGCAGCUGUGGUAAUUCCAGCUCCAAUAGUGUAUAUU